GAUGAAUUCUCCGAAAAUAGGUCCAGUGUAUCUAAGGCAUCCAUAUCGCCUUCAAAUGUCUCUGCUUUGGAACCUCAGACAGAAAUGGGCAGCAUAGUUAAAUCCAAAUCACUUACGAAAGAAGCAGAGAAAAAACUUCCUUCUGACACAGAGAAAGAGGACAGAUCCCUGUCAGCUGUAUUGUCAGCAGAGCUGAGUAAAACUUCAGGUAAUAAUCUAUGCACUGUCUCACCAACUUCUCGGCUUGCUAUGGAAUGCAGAUAACAUUUUAUGACAUAACAUUUCUGGGGUCUAAUGUAUCACGUGAUGAGAAUCUUCAGUUUUAGUUCUUUU
rnacentral:lncRNA from 1 species